CCUUCCCUGCUGCCUUCUUUUUCCUGCUGGGGCAUUGUGUGGCUUCCUGUUGCUUCCUUCCCUGCCAGACUGUGCCCCACCCCACAAUAAACAAUAACUGAUAAGGAACAACUCUUCAGUGAUCGCAGUUCUUUUAACGAUUUUCCCCGGGCUACUUAGUCUCAAAUAGGUAGCUGCUUCUUGGAGGUGCCUGUUGAAUUAAGGAAGAAGAAAAUGGUGUCUGAAUGUCUACUUUUGAAUGAGACCAUCUUCAAAGACUCUUGACAAGUGAAUGGCCAGGCCAUAGCUGAACACUAGGGAAGCUGCAACUUGUGUGAACCUGUCUUUUUUUUCCAACUAUCUGCAGUUUUCUUCAGGUUCUCUUCAUGCCAUGGGAUUGCAGUGCAGCAAAGAGUACUUGGAACCCUGAAAGGGAAUGGACCCAAAUUCCAAUAAAUGGUGAGGGAAGUGAGGCAGGAAAUGGCAUAAAGAUGUAUAUCGUUGUUGUACAAAAUGGCAUCUCUUGCGUUUUCAAAAUUUAAAAGACAUUUCUUUUAGAUAUAGAAAGUUUGUAUUUCUUUUCUUUGAUUGGCAUGUGACCCUGGACAAACUAUAAUCCAGCAUGCCGACAGGAAUGGAGCCCUAGGAGAAAGGGGGUACUUGAUCUGCUACGAGGCUCUCAUAGUGGAUGGAGGUAUGGUAAAUUGAUUUAAUCCUGGUAUUGGAACUAUAGAAUCAGAUUGUAGGAUCCUGAUUCUGAAAAAGCCCAGCAGACUGGGGUUCUGUGUACAAGAAAUGUGCCAGAGGGACCACAGCCAGAGAUGGUGACUGAAGCAAGCCCAGAACAAAAGAAGCCUAAAAGUAUGUGGACCCAACAUGAACUACCAAAACUGCUUCUAGAAACAGACCCUCACAAUGUACUGGAGAUAUGUUGGCAGAGUAGCAUGAAAACAGCACUGGCACUGUUUAUCUUCAGGUAAAGGGAUGGCUUUCUUGUCGUUAGUUGCUAACCUUUUUUAAAAAAAAUGUGAAGGAUUUCAGAGAAUGUUUAUGAGAGCAAGUACCUGACAUAACCUGAGUGAAAUCUAUAAUGGCUGUGAACUGGUGUAAGUGUACUGAAGACAGUGGAACUCAGUUGACUUACAUCAGUGAAGAACUGGGCCCAAUGUCUCAACUACUGUAGGGGUGCACAGAAGGGGCAAAACCAGAUAACCCUGUGGUAAUGGAUGCAGACUGUGUUUGACUUAUACAGACUACGUGGUAACAGGCUGAAACUUUGGGGUUAGAGUAGCUUUGGUUUUGUACAUAAAAUAUUUUUCAAUUCCUCUGUUUUUUUAAAGCAGCAGGAAACUUGGAAGAAUUUCUUGAGGAUUUUUUUAAUAUACUGUGAACAUUUACAGUAAUCCUUCUCUUUAUACCGUGUUUAUUUAAAACAGUCUGUUUACUACAGUUGGGUGG